rnacentral:rRNA from 1 species
AUUGAACGCUGGCGGCAUGCUUUACACAUGCAAGUCGAACGGCAGCGCGGGCUUCGGCCUGGCGGCGAGUGGCGAACGGGUGAGUAAUACAUCGGAACGUGCCCAGUAGUGGGGGAUAGCUCGGCGAAAGCCGGAUUAAUACCGCAUACGGCCUGAGGGUGAAAGCGGGGGAUCUUCGGACCUCGCGCUAUUGGAGCGGCCGAUGGCAGAUUAGCUAGUUGGUGGGGUAAAGGCCUACCAAGGCGACGAUCUGUAGCUGGUCUGAGAGGACGACCAGCCACACUGGGACUGAGACACGGCCCAGACUCCUACGGGAGGCAGCAGUGGGGAAUUUUGGACAAUGGGCGAAAGCCUGAUCCAGCAAUGCCGCGUGUGUGAUGAAGGCCUUCGGGUUGUAAAGCACCUUUGGCGGGAACGAAAAGGACUGUGCCAAUACCACGGUUCGAUGACGGUACCCGCAGAAUAAGCACCGGCUAACUACGUG